GAUGAACGCUGGCGGCGUGCUUAACACAUGCAAGUCGAACGGAGCACUCUAUUUGAUUUUCUUCGGAAAUGAAGAUUUUGUGACUGAGUGGCGGACGGGUGAGUAACGCGUGGGUAACCUGCCUCAUACAGGGGGAUAACAGUUGGAAACGACUGCUAAUACCGCAUAAGCGCACAGGAUCGCAUGAUCUGGUGUGAAAAACUCCGGUGGUAUGAGAUGGACCCGCGUCUGAUUAGCCAGUUGGCAGGGUAACGGCCUACCAAAGCGACGAUCAGUAGCCGACCUGAGAGGGUGACCGGCCACAUUGGGACUGAGACACGGCCCAAACUCCUACGGGAGGCAGCAGUGGGGAAUAUUGCACAAUGGGGGAAACCCUGAUGCAGCGACGCCGCGUGAGCGAAGAAGUAUUUCGGUAUGUAAAGCUCUAUCAGCAGGGAAGAAGA
rnacentral:rRNA from 1 species